GUAGGUACUAGUGGAAUAGUCGUGAAGAAAGAAAUAGUUGCCAGUCCUGUUCCCGGACACUUCAGGGAGUAAAGUGAGUAUGUGUUUUGUCCAUCACCUAGUAGAGCUGGGUGAGUUACCCCAGUACAACUGGGGUGCUAGUGUUCUGGCGUACCUGUAUAGGAGCAUGUGCCGGGUGAGCAUAGGUCCAUCGGUUGAUAUAUGUGGUUUUCUGCCCCACCUACAGGUGACAAAACUUCUGAAUACUUUGUUCUUUACUCCAAAUUCUAUAUCGUGAAAUGACUCAUAAAUUUUACAUCAACAUUUUAUCUUAGGUUUGGGCCUGGCAGCGGAUCAUGCCGUUGCAGCCACCUCUACCAGCACUUCCGUCCGGUCAGCAUUACUUGUUUCUCCCAAGUGAGUAUGUGUUUUGUCCAUCACCUAGUAGAGCUGGGUGAGUUACCCCAGUACAACUGGGGUGCUAGUGUUCUGGCGUACCUGUAUAGGAGCAUGUGCCGGGUGAGCAUAGGUCCAUCGGUUGAUAUAUGUGGUUUUCUGCCCCACCUACAGGUGACAAAACUUCUGAAUACUUUGUUCUUUACUCCAAAUUCUAUAUCGUGAAAUGACUCAUAAAUUUUACAUCAACAUUUUA
rnacentral:lncRNA from 1 species